UGUGUGUAGAGCAAUUUGGGUGAAAGAAGAACAUGUUUCACAAGCUUAAGUGUGGAUGCUUCACAUUUCUGGGAUUAGUGCUGUACCCUCCCCCAAAUUCAUGAAUAAAGGACAAAGGCAAAAGGAGGACCUGGAAGUUAUCUAUGGAAGACUUCUUGGGAUAUGUUGUUUCCAUCAUCACUGAAAUAUCUCAGAGGUGUUGGUGGACAAGAACCUCUCCUCUUCAUGGAAGUGAACAGACACCGCGACGUGGCCAUGAGACCAUAGAGUACGAGAUGGAAAAGAGCCACAUACCACUGUGCAAGUGGUAGUUUGAACUCCUUGUAUGCAUGGCUUAUAUACACACA
rnacentral:lncRNA from 1 species